GACGAACGCUGGCGGCGUGCUUAACACAUGCAAGUCGAACGGAAAGGCCCUGCUUUUGUGGGGUGCUCGAGUGGCGAACGGGUGAGUAACACGUGAGUAACCUGCCCUUUACUUUGGGAUAACUUCAGGAAACUGGGGCUAAUACCGGAUAGGAGCUCCUGCUGCAUGGUGGGGGUUGGAAAGUUUCGGAGGUUGGGGAUGGACUCGCGGCUUAUCAGCUUGUUGGUGGGGUAGUGGCUUACCAAGGCUUUGACGGGUAGCCGGCCUGAGAGGGUGACCGGCCACAUUGGGACUGAGAUACGGCCCAGACUCCUACGGGAGGCAGCAGUGGGGAACAUUGCACAAUGGGCGGAAGCCUGAUGCAGCAACGCCGCGUGCGGGAUGACGGCCUUCGGGUUGUAAACCGCUUUCGCCUGUGACGAAGCGUGAGUGACGGUAAUGGGUAAAGAAGCACCGGCUAACUACGUG
rnacentral:rRNA from 1 species